CUCACAGGGGUUUCCUGAACCACUUGGGUGCAUUGGCCUGAACAGGAGAACCCAGGGAAAGGCGAUAGGCAGCCGGAUGCUCCUCGCAUCAAACUUGCUUGUUUCUUGAUGCCCUGCAAGUUCUCAAAUCAGAACAUCAAUGCACAAACGCAGUCACACAAAAGACGAAAGCCGUGACCUGAAGCCUGGUAUGAAAACCAAAGGCGAUCCCACCAGCACAGCCUACUGACACAGCAACCCUUCCCCGCUACGCCAGCGUUGGGAACGGGGGAAAUGUGAAGAACGACUUCCUGCGUAUGAAAGAUCUUCUACCUGAACAUCUGCAGAUGAGAAUCAUAUGGUUGUGUAUGUAUGAGAUGAUUUUCUGCCUCACAGUAAAAUGGUUCCUGUCACUGGCCACUCCGCACAGUGCUCCCCUGGCAGUUGUAGCGAGGAGAGGGGAGCCUGAAGUGAUGAACUCCUGGAGGCUUGGAGAGAGUGGAGGGAGCC